CACAGAGUGAUUUACCUGACAUCUUCAGGGUUGUUUUGGUCCUUGGGUCUGAAUGCUGCUGUUGUCUUUUGGGUCUGGCCUUGGGUCACAGUAACUGAUCCAUCUGUAAACAAGGUGUUAUGGAAGACACUAGACCAGACUGAGCCCAUUUACUUAGAUUGACAUAGAUUAUUCCUGUCCUCAGAAUAAAUACCAGCAAGUCUAUUUUAGUCUUGUGAAUCUCCUUGGUGAAGAAGCCUGGUUGACCCUUAAAGCCUGUAUCUUGGCCCUGGAUAUACCAUUACCGUGUGAGCAGCUUUGGAUCAAUUUGGGUACCUGUCAGUUCUUCAGAACUCAAUUUUAUCCAGUGAAGAUUCGCUAUCAUGCUCUCCAGCUGGCUUGAAGAAGCAAGCCACCACAUUGCUCACUGCUCACAGAGAGGACCACAUGCGGAGGAACUGUGCAUAGCCUCAGGAGCUGAGUGCAGCAUCCAUGUGACAGUCGGGAAAAAUCUAGAGCUCUCAGUUCUACUACCGAGGAUUCAUUCUCCAUAGCCUAGAUGAUGAACAAGACAUCUGAAAAAUAGGAGGACUCCUCAAGACUUUACCCAUCACUUCCUCCUCACUUAUUAUCAGCAGCCUAAAAAAUGUGUGAUUAUUUUGACUUGGAAAAAUAAACCAGACAUAUUCUACACCAAGAUGCCGUGUCUUAUGCUUUGCAUUAUGAUGUCCUUUCACAACAUACAGAAUUCUGUUUUCAGUCUUUGCUUACUUUUAUUCCGUUAAUAACUGGAAAAAAUAGUCACAAAGCAAGUUACUGCAAUGCUUAGAAUCUCUGCAUCACAGAUUUCAUAUUUAGAAUAGCUACUAUGAAGAUAUCUGCCAAAUUCAGACAUUACAAGAUUAUUGCAUUUAAUUUUUGGAAUUAGACUAUGCCAGCAUAAAGUAUCCUCUGAUUCUGGCCCUUGACUUACCUAGUCAUAUUAUGUGAUUUAACAGUGUGAGGUCAUUUCCAGAAAGUUUUAAUCCUGGGACUUUCCUUAACAUUUUGUUUCUGAACUCACAAUAUUAGACAUGUCACUCAUGCAAUCCUGUUAAGUGGCACAGGGUGAUUUCUGCCAGGAAGUAUUUGCCAGGUUAAUCCUUGACAAAGGAGUUUCUCAAAGGCAUAAUUUCAUGAGAAAUCAGGUGAGCAAGUUACUACUUUUAUUAUACAUAGCAUUCUAUAAGGCAUUUAGAUGAUGAAAAGGAGACUAUCAUUGAUUCUGUCUUUGCUUGUGAGCUAAGAUUAAUUUUCAUCUUAGAUGAAAUAAACACGGCAUUUUACAAUUCAAAGAAUCAGUUCAAUAUCAAGUGACAAAUCGUCCUUCUUCCAGAGAGUUCAGAAGAAUCACUGAUGCUAGGAAAUGUACACAAAUGGCUGACUUAAUCACUGACACCAGCAUGAGUUCCAGCUUAACUUCUUAAGUAAAGUAAUUCAUGGCAAAUGAUGAG
rnacentral:lncRNA from 1 species